GCAGUCGAGCGGAACGAUCCUAGCUUGCUAGGAGGCGUCGAGCGGCGGACGGGUGAGUAAUGCAUAGGAAUCUACCCAGUCGUGGGGGAUAACCUGAGGAAACUCAGGCUAAUACCGCAUACGUCCUACGGGAGAAAGCGGGGGCUCUUCGGACCUCGCGCGAUUGGAUGAGCCUAUGUCGGAUUAGCUUGUUGGUAAGGUAACGGCUUACCAAGGCGACGAUCCGUAGCUGGUCUGAGAGGAUGAUCAGCCACACCGGGACUGAGACACGGCCCGGACUCCUACGGGAGGCAGCAGUGGGGAAUAUUGGACAAUGGGCGAAAGCCUGAUCCAGCCAUGCCGCGUGUGUGAAGAAGGCUUUCGGGUUGUAAAGCACUUUCAGCGAGGAAGAAAGCGUGCCGGCCAAUACCCGGUACGGACGACAUCACUCGCAGAAGAAGCACCGGCUAACUCCGUGCCAGCAGCCGCGGUAAUACGGAGGGUGCAAGCGUUAAUCGGAAUUACUGGGCGUAAAGCGCGCGUAGGCGGCGUGUCACGCCGGGUGUGAAAGCCCCGGGCUCAACCUGGGAACGGCAUCCGGAACGGGCAGGCUAGAGUGCAGGAGAGGAAGGUAGAAUUCCCGGUGUAGCGGUGAAAUGCGUAGAGAUCGGGAGGAAUACCAGUGGCGAAGGCGGCCUUCUGGACUGACACUGACGCUGAGGUGCGAAAGCGUGGGUAGCAAACAGGAUUAGAUACCCUGGUAGUCCACGCCGUAAACGAUGUCGACUAGCCGUUGGGUCCCUUGAGGACUUAGUGGCGCAGUUAACGCGAUAAGUCGACCGCCUGGGGAGUACGGCCGCAAGGUUAAAACUCAAAUGAAUUGACGGGGGCCCGCACAAGCG
rnacentral:rRNA from 1 species